GGAGUUGGUAUCUCAGUGGUAGAGUACAUGCUCUGUAUGCAUGAUGUCCUGGGUUCAAUCUCCAGGUUCUCCC
rnacentral:tRNA from 1 species